rnacentral:rRNA from 1 species
GACGAACGCUGGCGGCGUGCUUAACACAUGCAAGUCGAACGGAAAGGCCCUGCUUUUGUGGGGUGCUCGAGUGGCGAACGGGUGAGUAACACGUGAGUAACCUGCCCUUGACUUUGGGAUAACUUCAGGAAACUGGGGCUAAUACCGGAUAGGAGCUCCUGCUGCAUGGUGGGGGUUGGAAAGUUUCGGCGGUUGGGGAUGGACUCGCGGCUUAUCAGCUUGUUGGUGGGGUAGUGGCUUACCAAGGCUUUGACGGGUAGCCGGCCUGAGAGGGUGACCGGCCACAUGGGGACUGAGAGACGGCCCAGACCCCUACGGGGGGCAGGGGGGGGGAAUAUUGCACAAGGGGCGGAGGCCUGAUGCAGCAACGCCGCGUGCGGGAGGACGGCCUUCGGGUUGUAAACCGCUUUCGCCUGUGACGAAGCGUGAGUGACGGGAAUGGGUAAAGAAGCACCGGCUAACUACGU